rnacentral:rRNA from 1 species
AACGAACGCUGGCGGCAUGCCUAACACAUGCAAGUCGAACGACACCACCGGGACUAGUGGCGCACACGGGCGGAACGUGGGGGAACCUGCCGGUAGGCUCGGGAUAACACAGAUAAAUGUGGGCUAAUACCGGGAGACGUAUGCGGACACAAGAUUUGUCGCCUUUAGUUGGGCCCGCGUUGGUUGAGCCUGGUGGGAGGGUAAAGGCCGACCAAGGCGACGAUCCAUAGCUGGGCUGAGAGACUGAUCAGCCACUCUGGGACGGAGACGCGGCCCAGACUCCUGCGGGAGGCAGCAGUGCGGAAUCUUGCACUACCGGCGAGAGCAUGAUCCCGCUCUGCCGCGUGAGUGAUGAAGGCCUUAGGGUUGUACAGCUCUUUUACCCGACAUGAUACUGACAGUAUCGGGAGAAUAAGCACCGGCUAACUCCGUG